GAAGGGGGCAUGUCGCUUACUUACGAAAAACACAAAAUAUUGUACGAUUUUACAAAAACCUUUGAAGUUUCCUUUACUACUAAGGAAGGUACACAAUUAAAACCUUGGGCCUCUGAUCUUGAGAGAACCCAACUUAUUUUAUAUAGAUUUUAUGAAGCUGUCCUUAAAUACUUCCAAGCACUUUUUUAUCAAUCAAAGAUUCCCCCAAUCCUUAAACUUAGUUAUGAUGACGCU